rnacentral:rRNA from 1 species
AUACGUAGGGGGCGAGCGUUAUCCGGAAUCACUGGGCGUAAAGGGUGCGUAGGCGGAAUGGUAAGUCAGUGGUGAAAUCCUGCAGCUCAACUGUAGAGUUGCCAUUGAUACUGUCAUUCUUGAGUAUAGAUGAGGUAGGCGGAAUGAGUAGUGUAGCGGUGAAAUGCAUAGAUAUUACUCAGAACACCAAUUGCGAAGGCAGCUUACUAAACUAUAACUGACGCUGAAGCACGAAAGCGUGGGUAUCAAACAGGAUUAGAUACCCUGGUAGUCCACGCCGUAAACGAUGAUUACUGGUUGUUUGCAAUACACCGCAAGCGACUGAGCGAAAGCAUUAAGUAAUCCACCUGGGGAGUACGUCGGCAACGAUGAA